GUCGGCCUCAAGGUUACACAUUCCUUCAGUUUACAGCCUGGACAAUGCAAGGAGACAAACAGAGGUCAACCCAGGUGUCCUCGGGGAUACCCUGGCUGCACUGCUUCUGGUAGGACAGCAGGAGGCCUCCUCUGCAGCCAAACUUUGAGUCAGCUGCUGCCUGACCUUAACAGAUGUCAUUCGCCGGAGCAAGAGACUCUGCCUGUCUGUUUGCAGAAAAGCCAGGCUAAAUCGAGACAGCUGUAUACAUAUCGCCUAACCCUCCCUCAGCCUGUCAAAGAUGACUUCGAUUUCUUCCACUCUCCUAAAGAUCAAAGAGGAAGUCACGGGCUGUAAACAGGGAUUUAUCAUUUCAAUUUUAUAGGAAGAAAACUGAGGAACAAAACCGGAUCAUAAAUUUGCCAGGCCAGGGGACAGGUUUUAUUAUUCUUUGUGAUCUCUUUCCCUUUAAACCACUGUCACUUCCAACCCUAGUGCUUUGGGGUGUAAUUGGAUAUUAUAGAGCCGUCAGUGUUAUUAGGUCAUUCAACACAUGAAAAGUUGUCCUGAAGUUCAAUGGAAAAAUUACUGUCCACAUUCACUAAAAGUAUGAGAGAGCAACAGCUUCAAAUUUAUCUUUUAAGAUGAAUAACCUAAAUAUACAGCAUGGCUCACAAAAGUGCCAGGAGGAAAAAUAAAUUAUACUCGUGAAUACUGUAAAGCAAUCUUUUGUGGUUGUUGUUAUGAGUUUUGACUGUCUUUCCACUAGUUGUAUUUCCAUUUUCAAUAAGAAGCCACAGACCUACUUGUAGGCGGCUCCCUUCCUUUACCUGGACAGGGGCUCCCUAGAAAUAUUGACAGAAGCUCGGACAGGGGGGGAACAGUGUUCAGUGCAGGACUGGAAGUAUUCUCAUAAAUCCUUUCUAAGAGAACUUUGGCCUGAUUAUAUUUCAUCUGUAAUUGUGCUUUCUAAUUUUAAGUAGUUGAGAAAGAUUAUAAUUUUUCUAAAUAUCGACUUGUGCAAGUAAGAUUGUCACACCAUUCUCUUGUAUGCCUCCAUAGGAC
rnacentral:lncRNA from 1 species